UACGGAGGGUGCAAGCGUUAUCCGGAUUUAUUGGGUUUAAAGGGUCCGUAGGCGGACUGAUAAGUCAGUGGUGAAAUCCGACAGCUUAACUGUCGAACUGCCAUUGAUACUGUUAGUCUUGAGUAAGGUUGAAGUGGCUGGAAUAAGUAGUGUAGCGGUGAAAUGCAUAGAUAUUACUUAGAACACCAAUUGCGAAGGCAGGUCACUAAGUCUUAACUGACGCUGAUGGACGAAAGCGUGGGGAGCGAACAGG
rnacentral:ncRNA from 2 species